GGAGAGGUGGUCGAGUUGGUUUAAGGCGCAGCAUUGGAAAUGCUGUGUGCGUUAAUAGCGCACCGUGGGUUCGAAUCCCAUCCUUUCCU
rnacentral:tRNA from 1 species